CUGCCCCUCAUUAAGAAUGAAGUCUUUUGUUUAUGCACAGAACAGGGGCAGCAUAGAUAAGGACAGAGCAAGCUUCCUAACACUGCCCUGAUCAGAUGUCUCAUCCCUGACCUGAAGGGGUGGGGUGAAAGGUUAGCUCAUUCUUCAUGCUCAUUCAGUCCUUGGCUUCU
rnacentral:sRNA from 1 species